rnacentral:rRNA from 1 species
CCUACGGGAGGCAGCAGUGAGGAAUAUUGGUCAAUGGGCGAGAGCCUGAACCAGCCAAGUCGCGUGAAGGAUGAAGGAUCUAUGGAUUGUAAACUUCUUUUAUAUGGGAGUAAAGUGAGGAACGUGUUCCGUUUUGUAUGUACCAUAUGAAUAAGCAUCGGCUAACUCCGUGCCAGCAGCCGCGGUAAUACGGAGGAUCCGAGCGUUAUCCGGAUUUAUUGGGUUUAAAGGGAGCGUAGGUGGAUUGUUAAGUCAGUUGUGAAAUUUUGCGGGCCAACCGUAAAAUUGCCGUUGAAACUGGCAGUCUUGAGUACAGUAGAGGUGGGCGGAAUGCGUGGUGUAGCGGUGAAAUGCUUAGAUAUCACGAAGAACUCCGAUUGCGAAGGCAGCUCACUGGACUGCAACUGACACUGAGGCUCGAAAGUGUGGGUAUCAAACAGGAUUAGAUACCCGGGUAGUC